rnacentral:rRNA from 1 species
AUUGAACGCUGGCGGCAUGCCUUACACAUGCAAGUCGAACGGCAGCACGGGGGCAACCCUGGUGGCGAGUGGCGAACGGGUGAGUAAUACAUCGGAACGUCGCCCGAGUAGGUGGGGGAUAGGCCCCGGCGAAAGCCGGAUUAAUACCGCAUACGACCUACGGGUGAAAGCGGGGGAUCGCAAGACCUCGUGCUACCGGAGCGGCCGA